AUUUGUCACGUAAUCACUUGAUAGAAUGGCAUUUAAGCAUGUCACUGCCAUGGAAGAUGAACAACAAAGGCAUAGCCACAUCUAUGUUUCUAUAAAUAUUAUACUAGAUCCAAUUAUCCAAGUACCUAAUGGAUAAAAUGUCUAGCCAAUUAAAUCGAGUACUGUAUUAUAAUUUAUAUGAACAAAGGAAAAGCUAAAUCAUAAUCCUUUUAAACUCUAACUCACUUUCAUAUAUCAAGGACAUUUAAACAUAUUGCUUUUGUCCAAAACUUCUUAAAUACCCCAUUGUCAAAUAAAAUUAAAAUUUCUUCAAACAAUUUAAUAUUAAAAAAGAAU
rnacentral:misc_RNA from 1 species